UACGUAGGGUGCAAGCGUUGUCCGGAAUUAUUGGGCGUAAAGAGCUCGUAGGCGGUCUGUCGCGUCGGCUGUGAAAACCCGGAGCUCAACUCCGGGCCUGCAGUCGAUACGGGCAAACUGGAGUACUGCAGGGGAGACUGGAAUUCCUGGUGUAGCGGUGAAAUGCGCAGAUAUCAGGAGGAACACCGGUGGCGAAGGCGGAUCUCUGGGCCAUUACUGACGCUGGAGGAGCGAAAGCGUGGGGAGCGAACAGGA
rnacentral:rRNA from 1 species